rnacentral:lncRNA from 1 species
GCCAUUCUACCUCAUGCUGCACAGGCUGUAUGCAGAUGUCAGGAUUCAGAUCAUACUGUCUCUAUUCUUGCUGAUGUAUUCUGCAUCACUCAUUAAUGAUGUAGGAAGCAGGAAGUCCCUCUGAAGCUCCAGCGUCAAAACAGUGUAACGAAACAAAACAGUGUCAGAAAUUGCGUGACUCCUUUUCACUUCAUUAUUUGCCUGCUAUUUUGAUGGUAUUAGAACACUGUGUUGGAUACAGAUGCUUUUAGAUUAGACACCGUAAUAUAAAGCGCACUAUCAAUAAAAGUCUAUUUUCUGGAUAUUUCUCAUACAUAGGGGGCACCAGAUUAUAAGGCGCAGUAUGCAACUCUAGUACACUAGUAGGUCACUAAGUUAAGUAAAGCUAAGCUAAGUAAAGAAAACUGUAAUUCUUAAAAAAAAAACAUUUUCUUUUGAAGUCAAACGAGUUCUGGAUUCUAAUCUACACAGAUUUCUCUCCUGAAAACUUUAUUUGGAUAAGGUAUCUGGAAAAACACUUGCAUCAAAGCAGCCUCCAGAAUCUCUCUACUCCAACCUCCUACAGAGCCUGUGGUCUGAGCACUGUAACACCAUACAGACCCAUCACGCCUCUCAGAGGUAGAGUACAACACAUCCUCUCUGGGGGGGGAAGUGUCCUUCUCACUCCAGCUGCUACAACCUGCAGUUAAAGAGACUAGUCUGGAGACUAUGCAGCAAGAGUUCUUCUUGGGCCAUUUUCAGUCACCAUAUGAGUAUUUCUCCUGUUCUACAGCCGAGAGCGCCCGGGGCAACAGCACUGCAACCACAAGCAAUGUCAGAGAUGAGUUACAGGUAAUGUCUGAGCAGCUAUUCCACAGGCUGUUUUCACCCAGUCACGAAUGUCCCGCUUGCCCUCUUCACCACUACAAAACUGUCUCUUUGCAUGCCAACAAAAAUGUUUGGACAGUUGCAACAGCUUUUUUUGUACAACAUCUUAUUUGAUUUAAAAUGAACCAAUCAAUUCCAGAGUCAAUUGAAAUAAUUUCAAUUCCUUUUCAAAAAUUAAAGCUAUUUUAC